AUUGAACGCUGGCGGCAGGCCUAACACAUGCAAGUCGAGCGAGCGGCGGACGGGUGAGUACUGUAUGGGGCCUGCCCGAUAGAGGGGGAUAACUACUGGAAACGGUGGAUAAUACCGCAUACUGUCGGAUAACCCAUAUGGGAUGAGCUAGGAGGUAAGGUAAUGCCUUACCUAGGCCAAGAUCCAUAGCUGGUCUGAGAGGAUGAUCAGCCACACGGGGACUGAGACAAGGCCCAGAAGCCGACGGGGGCAGAAGUGGGGAAUAGUGCACAAUGGGCGCAAGCCUGAUGCAGGCAUGCCGCGUGUAUGACGAAGGCCGUAGGGUUGCAAAGUACUUUCAGUCGGGAGGCGUUACCGACAGAAGAAGCACCGGCGAACUACGUGCCAGCAGCCGCGGUAAUUC
rnacentral:rRNA from 1 species